ensembl:ncRNA K06A4.11 ncRNA
CAAUAGCGUGGGUGUCAGUGACUUUCUACACCAGUCGAUACAUCCCACCGUCACCAAUAAAAUCUGCAUUAUCUUCGUCUCUAAUGUCUCUCAUUAUUCCAUUACAAAUGAAGACUCUCUUCCCAUUUCAUUCACCAUUUUC